UUUAGUUAGCAGGGCCAUAACCAGGUUUGUUAUUUAGUCAGCAGGGUCAUAACCAGGUUUGUUAUUUAGUCAGCAGGGUCAUAACCAGGUUUGUUAUUUAGUUAGCAGGGCCAUAACCAGGUUUGUUAUUUAGUCAGCAGGGCCAUAACCAGGUUUGUUAUUUAGUCAGCAGGGUCAUAACCAGGUUUGUUAUUUAGUCAGCAGGGUCAUAACCAGGUUUGUUAUUUAGUCAGCAGGGUCAUAACCAGGUUUGUUAUUUAGUCAGCAGGGUCAUAACCAGGUUUGUUAUUUAGUCAGGGCCAUAACCAGGUUUGUUAUUUAGUCAGCAGGGC
rnacentral:lncRNA from 1 species